GCUUGAGAAUUUUAAACCAAAACCCUUUUGUUCUCUGUUUCUUUUCUUUUCUUUCUUUAUUUUAGCCUAUGCAACCUUUAGCAUUUUUUUCAUGGUAUAAGAGUUUUUGGUUGUUCAGCCAACUAUGGAGAAAGAAGCUAAAAAUCAACAAACACCACCUUUUGCCGUAAAAUCAACCUCACGUUUCCAUAACCUCUCAGAUCCAAAUAACCCAUCCCAUCUUGAUAAUGGUGAUACAUCAGUUGUCAGUUUGAUGAUUGAUUUUUUAACCAUAAAAAAUUAUUUCACUUGGGCAAGAGCCAUGAAGAGUGCUCUUAGAGUCAAGAACAAGCUCGGUUUUGUUAAUCGCAGUGUCACAAAACUUUCAGAUCCCAACAAUCCUCUUCUAGAAGCUUGAGAAAAAUGCAACGAUAUGAUUGUUUCUUGGAUCCAUAACUCUGACCUCACAUCAUGGACAACGAUUAGAUUGGGUGAAAUGAAGAAUGUUCUCUAUCACCUCAAGCAUGUUGAAGUAUCUCCUACUGCAUUGAUGUGUACAUUAUCCAAGUAUUUUGACACUUAUCAUUUGCAUUCUACUUGUGCUACAAAUACUAGUCAUCAUUCUAAUUUGUGGCAUUAUCGUCUAGGCUAUAUUUCCAACUCCAGAUAACAAUUAAUUAGAGAUCCUAUUGUAAUUAAAAAAAAACUCAUGUUCUACUAUCAAUGAAGCUCUCUGUUCGAUUUA